ACUUAUUACUGAUCUCACAGGAGACAGUUUGUUUAUGAAGCAAUUAACUUUAUGCAAAUCAGUGAGCUAGUACGUCAUGUGCAGUGGCUUUUGGAGGGAGUAUAACUGCUUACUUUUGCAUAUGCUCGCUUCCACCGGGCAGUUUGUCUUUUGGGAAGAAGUGGAGAUUGGACAUGAUUUAAAUUUCUGCUUUGUCCAAUGCACUAUAGGAAGAAACUCUCUCUGAGUAUGGAAGAGGAUGGUGCCACGGUGGCACAAAAACCAGCAGUGCGCAUUUGUACUCCAUGUGCAAUGACUGUUCUGCUGUGCAGCCAUUGCAUAGAAGUUUGUGAAUGAAAUCAGAGCUGGGGAAAGCAGCACCCAGUGUGUACAAAUGCCUUUACUGAAGAUGAGAUACGAACAUUCAGAAAUAUUCAUGAGUCUCUUCUAUCCUGAAUCUUCUCAUAGUGGCUCUCCAGUAUUUCUAGGGAAAAAAAGAAUCCAGAAGGUUUCAGAAGAAGAGACAGUGCCGGGAGGAUUAGCUGGGGCGAGAAGAGAGCAGAGGGCUUCUCCCUGGCUGCACAGAGGCCUCUGGUCAUGCUCCACAUUAAACUUCCAGUAAGAAACUGCCCUUGUAACUGGGUGUUGGUCACCUCCAGACACUGUAUAGAAAAUGGAGACUAAGUGUGUAGCCCAGCACCAGCCAUGCUGGUUCCUUGGAGUGAUAGCUCUGGUCAGCACCUGUGGCCACCUGCAUGGGUGUUGUGGUUUAAUCCAGCAGGUGGCUCAGUACCACCCAGUCAUUCACUCACUGCCCCCCUUCCCAGUGGGAUGAGGGAGAGGAUCAAAAUAACAAAGUGGAACUCAUGGUUUGAGAUAGUUCUAUCUACUAAGGUAGAGAAGA
rnacentral:lncRNA from 1 species